CGUAAUGAUUUAUUGUUAAUUGUGCCAUCAUUGCUAAAUAGUAGUGCCUUUAGCUAUGUGUGUACAAUAUAAAUAGAUAACCUAUAUAUGUAUGGAUUUUUAAGAAGUAUAACAAUAAUGGACACAUAUUUGCUUUUUAAAAAAUAUGUUGUGGUAACAGUAAUGUAAAAAAUUUCUUAUCCUACCCUUUUCAGCAUUCAGUUCCUUGCAAUUGAGUACUUUUAUUCUGUUACAUAACCCUUAUCGCCAUCCUUUCUUUUUGUCAUAUAAAAUGGAAAGUCUACCCACUAAAUGGUUAUGUUCUGCCCUUUGCUACCCCCAGCUACUAGCAAUCAGUGUUCUACUCUCUGUCUCUGAUCUUGACUGCUCUAUUACAUAUAAGUAUUUUGUGGUUGGCUUAUUUGGUUUAGUGAAAGUUACCCAGGACUUAUUCAUGUUAAACAUACCACAGAGUUGUCUUCUGUUGUGAAGAUGGAUGAUCCAUGGUGGAUCUGUGUUGCUUUCAUGUUUAGGUCUUGUGAUACUGUGAACGUGGACGAACAGAUAGCUCUUUGAGACCUGGUUUUAGUUAUUUGGUGUUUUAACUUGAAAGUGCUAAUAUGUUAAUUCUAAUUUUAAUAUUUUUGAGGAAUUACCAAACUUUUCCACAGUGGCUGUACCAUUUUUGCCCUUCCCAUCAGCAAUGCACAGAAUUUCAAUUUGUUCUCAUCUUCUCCAUCAGAUGCUUUUUUCAUACAUAAUAACCAUGUUAGUAGAGGUGAGGUAGCAUCUCACUUUAAUUUUGAUUUGCUAAUGAUGUUGAACAUCUUUUAAUGAAAGUUUGUGUAUCCUUCUUGAAAAAAAUGUCUAUUUAACAUUUCUCUUAAAGGUAUUUUUAACCUGAACAUGCAUUUUUAUUUUAAUAUUGGUAUAUGUAUGGAUGUGGGACUUUAUGGAAUAUACAGCAAGUAUUAAAUGGUAUUUUGAUGAAUGUCUUUUUACUAUGCUCAGACUGAACCUAUUGUCUUACAUAUGUUAGACAAGUGGUCCACCACAGUCUUUAGUGUUUAAAGUAAGGUCCCAAUAGCUUCUUGAUCUUGCUGCCUCUGCCUCCCAAGUCCUGGGAUUGCAGGCUUGUUCCAUCAUGUCUGGCUUUAGUGAGUUUAACAGAAUUUAAUCCCAAAAGGUAGGCAGGUUCACUUUUGUUUAUUAGAUAUUAUUUAUUGGUGCAGAAUAAUUUUGCUACAGUUGUCUUUGUAUAAUCUCAGGGUUGCUACUUAAACCAAACAACCUCUUUGCCUCUGUUUCUUCAUUUGGAAAUAAAAAUAAUUAAAAGAACAAAUGAGGUGGUACAUUUAAACAGCCCCCCAAAAAUAGUUUGACCCUUAUGAUCAUUUGUUCACAUUAAUGGUCUCAGGAUUUUAGUUGUUAAUUUUUGCAACUGUAGGGCUGUUGCUUUUUUGUGUAAUUGAUAUUUAUCCAAUUAUCUAACUGUUUGGAACUAUUUUUUUAGGAACUUUUUUGGAGAAAGUGGUUGUCCUUUCUCCUUUAUAAUGAGCAUUUUUAGUAAUCUGUCUUCAAAGUAGUACUCAUUUACAUACACUGCAGACACCUUUUCAAAUGGUUUCAUUUCUUCUGUCCAUAGUGAUAGUGUUAUCUUUGAUUUCACUUUUCUGUAUAUUGUGAUUACUUAACGUAUUGCUGUUAUUUUUUUUUAGAUCAAAAACAGGAAAAGUAAUGUUCUUUUUUAGCCUUAAUGUGUUCUUUCCAUGAUGCUCUUCAUUUCUUCGUACAGGCCUGGAGUGCUUCUUGCCUCAGCCUCCUGAGGGCUUCGGAUUACAGGCCUGCACCAUCACAUGCGGUGCCAACUUUAUCAAAUACUGUUGAUUCACUUUAAAACUCUUUUUACUGAUACAAAGGACCUGGCUUAAAAAGAAUAGAGGUUUGUCUAUAAGUACUCUUUCUUGUUUCAUUGAUAUAUUUUAUAGUAAUGAAAUAUUUAUUCAAAAUUGUAAUUAAAUUUACCUUAAAAAUUUUUCACAAUGCACUAAAAAAAACUAGGCUAUUUCAUAAAUAUGCACAUCAUCACUAAUUAGAAUGGUCUUUGGGUAAAUGACAAGUAAUCCUGUACUGUGUAGAUAAUAUGCACAGUGCUGAUUACCUUGUCAACCACUGAACAAGCACUUAUUGCCAUUGUGGUUCUUGAUGAGAACUGUACUAGCUGUUUUUGUGUUGUUGUUUUGUUUUGUUUUGUGGUUUGUUUGUUUGUUUGUUUUUUUGCAGUGCUGGGGUGAAACCCAGUGCCUUGCACAUAUCAGGCAAGUGUUGCCUGUUUGACCUAAGUUGCCAGACUCUGUUGCAUUUUUAGUGUAUCUUCUUUUUCAUGUGAAUUCUGUAGUACAUAGAAUUUUGUGGGGGGAAAAAACCUUUUAUAAUUUUAAUUGGGGUUCUAUUUAAUUUCAAAUUAAUUUGUGGAGAAUUAACAAAUUUAAAAGCAACAAGUUUUCCCAUCAGGGAACACUGUGUAUUGCUGAUAUUUGAAAUAUAUCAAACAAAGCUAUGAGAGAAUACAGUACAGUUGACCCUUGGUCAACAUAAGUUUGAACUAUACAUGUCCAUUUAUAAAUGGAUAUAUAAAUUAAGAAAAUGUUUCAUAUGUCACAUGCAUGUACAUGUAUAUCAUAGUUCAUUUUACCAUUGGUUCUGUUUUUCUGUACACAUAAAUACAGUUUUAAAAGUUAAA